UACGGAGGGGGCAAACGUUGUUCGGAAUCACUGGGCGUAAAGCGCAUGUAGGCGGCUUGUCGUGUCAGAUGUGAAAGCCCUCGGCUCAACCGAGGAAGUGCAUUUGAAACUGGCAGGAUAGAAUACUGGAGAGGGUUGUAGAAUACCAGGUGUAGAGGUGAAAUUCGUAGAGAUCUGGUAGAAUACCGGUGGCGAAGGCGGCAACCUGGACAGAUAUUGACGCUGAGAUGCGAAAGCGUGGGGAGCGAACAGG
rnacentral:rRNA from 1 species